GGCGGUUCUUGACGCACCCCAGAAUCAGGCUGCCUCCUCUCUGGUUCCGGGAGCAUCACCUGAGAACCGCA
rfam:Myotis brandtii contig167568, whole genome shotgun sequence.